GUUGGCUUGGUCCAGUCAGCAAAGAGUCUGUGUGGCAAAGGGCCCCUUAGCAAUCAGGUUCCAGUGGAUUGAUCUGACAGGUGCUGGGAAGUGACUGCCGAAGUGCUUUGGUGCACAGGUCUUCUUGUCCCAGUGUAAGGACCAUGAGCGAGGUCCUCCACUGAUGUGCAGCUGGUUGAAAUGUGGUGGUUUCUGGGAUGUGGAUAGAUCUUGAUGGGCACUCCAGGAUGCUAUUCGGGGCCCGCUUGUGUCCAUCCUUCACCUGGACACUGGCAACCACCCUCUGAGUACAAACCAUCCAACUAAUUCUUUAUCCACCUAACAGACCAGCCUUCAAAUCCACAUCUCUCCUAUUGAGAGAUAAGGAUGUUAUGCGGGACCGUGGACUUGCUCAGGUCCAGGUAGACAACAUCGGAUGCCCUUCCUUUGUCCACCAGUGCUGUCACUCCAUCACAGAAGGCCACCAGAUGCAUCAGGCAUGACCUGCCCUUGGUGAAGCUAUGCUGGCUGUCUCAGAUCGCCUCCACAUCUUGCAUGUGCCCUAACAUCUCUUCCACGAGGAUCCACUCUCUCAUCUUCCCAGGCACAGAGUGUAGAGCAACUUUGAUUCAAGUUACAGUCUCAGGCCUCAGGACAAAUGUGUGAUCUUUCCGCUUACUGUCUGCAUGCCUUCACCUGAGCUCUGGACUUGGCAGGAUGGUGAUGGCACAUCCCAGCUUCAGCACACAGGACUUGGAAGAGUCUUUCUCACGGCUCCAGUGGGAACAAGUUUGGUGAUAGUCCUGCUGCACAGAUUUAGAAGGUACCAGAAGAUCAAUCUGUACAUCAGCAAACAAGGAGACAUUUUAAAUGUCUCCCCUUGCCUUGUUUGGCACAAGUGAUCAUUGUUUAUGCUGAUUUCAGAUUUUCCAGGUCUUAUCUGAACCAAAAUGAAGUCCUAGAAGCAAACUGCAAGUAUGGUAAGGUAAUAUAUGAUUUUGCAUUCCAGUCAUAGCCCUGCAGAAGUUACAGCUGUCAGAACUCAUCACUGCAGUUCUAACAUAAUUAUUAUAAAUGUAAUCUAUUUAGUGCCCCGGGACGUCUGUGCUGACAGGCAGUGAAAUGGCCCUAUGGACAUGCUAUAGACAGCAUUUUUGUGCCACUCUUUUUCAGAUAUUGUUCUACAAAAUCAAGGGUCCUGUCAUUCAAAGCCAUGCUGCGGGAAGAUGCUAAGCAUAUAAUUUCUCUAAAUUAAAUCACAGCAUUUGUACCCAUUAAUGAA